UGUAUUUUGCUGCGAGUGGUAGAUUUCUAGAACCCGUACUCAGCAGUCUCUAAGCUAAGCUAAGAGACAGAAGAAUGCAAUGCAGUCAGUGCCUGUAUGAUAUGUUACUAAGGUAAAAGAAGGUUAUCUCCUUUUGUAAAUUUACUUUCAAUCCCAAGAUAGUUUUUUUUUUGUUUAGAUUACCCAUACUGUGAACCUUGUUCUCAUGUACGUCUGCAAAUCAUUACCACGUCGCUGGAGUAGUAUGUGCAGGGACUAGAAACUGAUUCACCAGGUACAGAGUGUCACAGUGCUCCGGUCAUCGGAUCUGUCAGGCUGGGUCUCCAGCAGUGUGUCAGGAUCCAAAACUGGGUUGCGAGCUGGAUGGAACCUCAGUUGCAGAAAAGAGUUUACAAGCCUGAGAGAGCAAGCAGAAGAGAAGUCUUCAGCAGAGAGAGAUGGAAAAUACUGCUCCCCAGGGCGCAGCCCAGCUCUGCUUCCUAGGCUUUGCGUUGCCAACAGGAGGUUUUCUCCCAGGCUGCAAGGGAGGAGGAUGCAAGGGGCUUUUUAUUAGAGAAGGUCUUUUUAGCACAACAGACCAGAUUAAGUCUUCCAGUGCUGCCCCUUCUGUUCAGCGGAAGAGCUGCCAGCAGGGAUGCGUUGCCUGGUUUUCUAGAGGUGAAGCAUACAGCUGUUGUAGCACCCUCUGCCCUUCCCAACCUGCAAGCAUGCAGUGAGAAAUCGGGAUACUACCUUGAAUCCUGCGUUAUUGCCACCAGCCUCUCCUCUUUCGAAAAGGACGCCGCCGAGAGGAAUUUCUGAACGAACUGCUGCAAACUCCUGUUUAAUGAACUCUGCAUCACAAAGUUUUCUUAUAGACGCACGGCUUAACCAUGAAGUAUUAACAAUUGUGAAGUUACUUUGUAAACAAACAUGCUGUACCUGUGACCUGGCGAUGAAAAUGUUACAGGGUCGUGGAGCUCAAUCCAGUUCUCCCAUCAACUUCCAGAGUGAUUUCUGACAUUACGGUAUUUUUGUGCCUGGGUUCCACUAUUCCAUUAUCCUGGGUUUCUAGAAAAAUAAUAUCAACCUCUCCAAGGCUCUGAAGACAUACGAGAUCUUUGGCUAGUUCAUGCGUGCAGUUGAGAUUGCAUGAGGAAAGCAUCCUUAAUAUUUUCUGAUAUUUAAUUUUUCUGUUAACCACUCUCCCUUAUAUAAAACUUAUAUGUGUGA